rnacentral:rRNA from 1 species
GACGAGCGCUGGCGGCGUGCCUAAUACAUGCAAGUUGAGCGCUGAAGGUUGGUACUUGUACCAACUGGAUGAGCAGCGAACGGGUGAGUAACGCGUGGGGAAUCUGCCUUUGAGCGGGGGACAACAUUUGGAAACGAAUGCUAAUACCGCAUAAAAACUUUAAACACAAGUUUUAAGUUUGAAAGAUGCAAUUGCAUCACUCAAAGAUGAUCCCGCGUUGUAUUAGCUAGUUGGUGAGGUAAAGGCUCACCAAGGCGAUGAUACAUAGCCGACCUGAGAGGGUGAUCGGCCACAUUGGGACUGAGACACGGCCCAAACUCCUACGGGAGGCAGCAGGAGGGAAUCUUCGGCAAUGGACGAAAGUCUGACCGAGCAACGCCGCGUGAGUGAAGAAGGUUGUCGGAUCGUAAAACUCUGUUGGUAGAGAAGAACGUUGGUGAGAGUGGAAAGCUCAUCAAGUGACGGUAACUACCCAGAAAGGGACGGCUAACUACGUG